UUCGCAAAGGAAUAAUUUAUGGUGUACGGGUAAUGGAAACUGGCAGCACUUAUCAAAAAGAAUUGUAGAACCCAUACGGAAGCAUGUGCUGCGUGCAAACUUUGCAAACAAUAAUACUAUCGACAAGGAAGUUGAAAAUGAAAUACCUAAAGAAGCGUAGUUUUGUAAAAUGGUUCUUAUAAGGAUAUUCGAAAUCACACUUAGCAAAAAGUUCAUAGGCUUUCAUAAGACAUCGAGAGAACUGAAGUCAGGAGGAACGAAACCUCUUUUCUGUCCGUUGUAGAGCUUGUCGCACGGUGUGAUCCUACUUUACAAGUUUUGGAUAUACUCAAAGGAUCUGCAAGUAAUAUGAGUCCAACAAUUCAAAAUGAAAUAUUAAGUGCUUGAAAUAACCUGCUAGAACAAAUUAAGAGUAUCACAGUUUUUCGCCAUCGCAAUGGGCACUACAUACGAUAUAUUGUAGCAGUUGCAGUUUCAAACAUCCUACAUAUUCAAGAGAAGAAAGGCCACAUUUCAUUUCACGCACUCAUUUGUUAGAUCUGAAAAUGAAGUAACGGACUGCUUAGAAACACUGAAACUUUGGAUGGAUUUCCAAUGGUAAUAAAUCAAUCAGCAUAAGACUUUUAUGACAACAUAGCACUCCAGUUUAUCCAUUUAUACGAAAAACACAGAACACACCUACUGUAAAAGCUGUUUCCGCAGGUCAAGUAGACAUUUACCAUGCUCCAAUGUAAGCAAAACAAGAAUUUCAGUGUAUCAACAUCAUAUUUGUGCCAUGCUAAGAACUUUUCACCUUACCCUUGUAUGCUUCAGAGGGUGUCGAUAAAAUUGGGAAUGUAAACAUAGCUUUCAGAAAACAUAUAUUGUUUAUUUUUAUAAAAAUAUUUUGUCACAAUAAAUAUUACAGAAUGAUGCUUUGAUGAUAUUUACAUGCAGUGUAGCCUCUCGUCACCCAUUUUGUAACAUUCUUGUCUCUCAUUUCAUUUUAUGGUACAAUCACCUA